GAUGAACGCUAGCGGCAGGCUUAAUACAUGCAAGUCGAGGGGCAGCACGGUUAGCAAUAACUGGUGGCGACCGGCGCACGGGUGCGUAACACGUAUACAAUCUACCUUAAACAGGGGGAUAGCCUUUCGAAAGAGAGAUUAAUACCCCGUAAUAAAUUGAACGGCAUCGUUUGAUUUUGAAAGCUCCGGCGGUUUGAGAUGAGUAUGCGUCUGAUUAGCUAGUUGGUGAGGUAACGGCUCACCAAGGCGACGAUCAGUAGGGGAUCUGAGAGGACUAACCCCCACACUGGUACUGAGACACGGACCAGACUCCUACGGGAGGCAGCAGUAAGGAAUAUUGGUCAAUAGGAGGCAACUCUGAACCAGCCAUGCGCGUGCAGGAUGAGGCCCUAUGGUGUAAUAGCUUUAUUACAAAGAG
rnacentral:rRNA from 1 species